AGUGGGGGAGAAGAAUGGAUGCUAUGGGGGGCAACAAAGGACACUGCAGCCGCCGAGCCUGCCUCACCUCGAGCCAGGGGAGAGAGUCACACUCACAGUAUGAGCCAGCAGUGGAUUACCAACCUUCAGAAGAAAAUGAGAAUUUUUGCCUCAAUAACUCAACACAUUUGGGGACUUUUUGUAUCAGAGAGGAAGCCUGGAUGGAAGAAUCUGUUGCAGCUUUUUGCAGUUUGCUGUACUGUUAGCUUCAUCAUAAGCAGCCUCUUAUUUCUUGGCUUGCAUUCCUUUCUAGCACACUAUCCUUUGGUUUCCUUAGCAAUUUCUGGGUCCACCUGGAUUGGCCUGUCUAUUGGGUUGUGUUCCUCCAAGCACAUGCGCUGCUUUGGCACGCUGUUUGUUCUUUCUUGCAGCUUGCGUGAAGGUAGAAAUGCGCUUAUUGCUGCUGGGACUGGUGUUGUGGUAGCUGGCACGAUCCAAAAUAUUUUUCACAACCUAAAGAUAUUGGCAGACAGUAUAGCUUGCAAUCUAGAGAUUGAGCAAUUUGCCUUUAUAAAGCUCUAUAUUAAAAUAAUUCAGUGGAUUUAUAAUGAGGCUAAACGUUUAAGUAACCCAGUGGAAGAAGUAGUAUCACUGAGUGACAAAUUCAGUGUCUCUUACUUAAUUUCAGAUGAAGAUUUGAAAAUGAAGUUAAACGCCACAAAACAACAAAUCCAGAGUGUUACUAACCAUAUAUCUUCUAUACUGGCUAUACAGCCCUAUAUAAGCCAGAGGCUGUUGCCUAUAAUAGGGAUUCUUCUAGUUCCUCUUGGCACAUACCUUUUCUUCAGAAAAUUCUUGGGCACUCAUAGUGUGAAGUUUAAGAAUAUUUACAUUACAAAACAGUUCAUUGAAUUUGAUGAGCACCAAAGGCAGCAAAGAAAGCCCUGUGUUCUUCCACUCAGUAAAAAAGAAAGAAAAGAGUAUGUGAUAGUCCCAUCCCUCCGCCUAACACACAAGGAAAGGAAAAGCAUAGGACGCAUUCUAAUCCCUGUAUUUACUAAUCUUUGCAUCUGGGUUCUGUUUGCAGCAGUAGAUUAUUUGCUUUACUGGCUAAUUUUUUCAGUGAGCAAGCAUCUCCAAGCAUUACCAAAGCUAGAGGUUAAUUUGAAAGUCAGGUACCAAAAAAAUGAAAACACGUUUAUUUUCAACAAUGGGGAGCGCAAGACAAUGAAUCUUAACUUUAGCUCUUCUCUGUUUAAGCAUGAAUGCCUCCCUAAGCCAGAGUUUUUGCUCUCCUCAACAUGGAUCCAGCUUGGAUGCAUCAUCUUUUGUCUAAUAAUAUUUGCAUUAUUCUCCACCACCCUGACGCAACUUAAAAUACUUGUGUCAACUUCAUUUUAUCCCAACAUAGAGAUGAAACGGAUACAUUAUCUGCAUGCAAAACUACUGAGAAAAAGAUCAAAGUUUCCACAGAAAAAUGUAAAAAGGAAAUUGAACUCAUUUGCUACAACGCUCCACUUCUGGUUCCCAGUAUUCAAGGCAAUGGGGAUGGUCAGGAAGAAAGAAAAAGACAUGAUAAACAUCAACAGUGUUUGAAAAAGGACAAGUAACCUUUUGGAUAAGUUCACAGUUCUUUGGUUCAACAGGUCCCUGUAUAUUGCACCUGUAUUGCUCCAGCUUUGUUAAAAUAUUUCCAUAAAAUGCUGCCAGUUAAUUUGCAUAUUAUAUAUACAUUUUAAAUAAGUAAAAAUAGAUGUCAAAAGAUAGCAGCCUGCAAUAUUUUGGUAAAAUUUGGGAAACUGUAAUAAUAUUUAAUCCUAUUAUUUAAUCCAUUUUCAACUCUGAUUCUACACUGCCUUGUACAUUGUGCAGACAGUUAGGGCCUGAUUACCAUUCCUGGUACGACCACCAUACGUUGUUGUGGCAGUAUUACUCUGUAAUUUACAUUUGCACCCACCUUGAAUACCCUGUACUCUGCCACAGUGUGUAAAGUGGCUCUACUGUAAAAUAGGAAUCAGGCUCUUAGUCUCCAAUCCAACAGUAUGAGCUGUCCCAUUGAAAUCACUGAGCCGAACAUCUUCUUAAGUAUCCUGCUGAACUGGUGGCCUUACACACGUGGGAAGUGAGAGCAAGAUGUUACUAUUCUGAACUGGUAGCAUCUGACAACCACUCUGGACUCUUUUUACACAUACAGAAAUGCUACAAAGUGCAAGGAACUGGAAAAUCAGGCCUUCUGUGUCCUUGUUUUUUCUUGGAUUAAUUUAUUCUCCCCCAAGCAAUUUCAGGGGACUACACUGGUCGUAUAUAUGGUUAGGGUAAUAUAAGGUUGCCUGGGCAACCUUGAUUCUGGCAUUUCCUAACUUUCUUCUUGCAAUAUUAAUAAUGUUCUGUGAACAUAGGGGUUUUUUGUUUGUUUGUUUGUAAUUUCCUAGGUUUUUAAAAAAGCAAACUGUAAAAACAUAAAUUCCAUCAUGUGGCAGCUUAUUGAUACUCACAUUAUUCAUCUGCCAGGUGAGAAUCUUUAGAUCCAUCACACAGACCUCUGACACUUGAACUAAUAGAGUAACUGAGAGCAGAAGUAGGUUGUUGUCCUCUAUGUGGAGCAGCAUUAGAGGACAAUGAGGCAUACUCUUUGCCAGAACUUUACUGACAGUAGAAGAGUGGUGAGACUCAAAGAAUCUUGGGUUCCAUUCCAGGUCCUGGAGUAGAAUGUGCUCAAAUGGGCACAGAGAAUCUCUGCCCAUUUACCUCAAGAUUGACCUCUCCUGCUCCAUCCCCUCCAACCUGUCCUUUUCCCAGUCCUGUUUCUUACCUACUCUUGGCUCCUUGUCCCAGUCCCAUUCUCUUUGCCUACUCAAUGCCAGUCUCCAUUCCCAGGUUUCUCAUCCCAUGCCCAGUUCCCUUGUUCAGCCAGUCCCAGUGCCCCCUUACAAGUGCCUUGUCUGAUCUGUCUCCCUCCACCCCAUUGGUUUCCAAUCCUAAUCUCACUCCCUGGCCCCCUCAUCCAAUCUCAGUCUCCUUCCUACACCCUUUCUGGUGCCUUGCCCCAGUGUCUUUGCCCAGCCAGUCGCAUUUCUCCCUUGCACCGCAGUUCCUUCUGAGAUCUGAGUCACCUCCAUCUGCUCUCAUUCCCUCCACCCACAGAUUCACAGUCUCUUUUUCCAGCCAGUCCCAAUCUCCCAUCUCCCCCCAGCUCCUUGUCUGAUCUGAGUGUCAUACCCCAGCCAAUUGGUUCCCAGCCCCUCCCCAGUUUCCUUCACCAGCUCCAAAUCCAGCCUCCCCUCCCUUCUUCCUGGAUCCCAGUCCAAAACCUCUUUCCCCCCCACAGUUCCCAGGCCCAGCCUCCCCAGUCCCAGUAUCCUUUCCCAGCCCGUCCCAGUCACGGUUUCUCUCUUCCUCACUCCAGUUCCAUUCUCACCAAAUUUCUUGUUACAAUCUACUCCUUUUCCUCCCCCGGUCCAGCUUUUGUAUCGUCUUUUGUAUUCAACUCCUGUGGCUUCCUCCUCCAUGCUGCCUGGGUCUCAGCAGGGAUGUCAUCAAUCACAUAGGAGAGUCAGGCCCCCUGCUCUCAGUUCCAGUGCCCAGCCCCACCCUGGCUCAGAGCAGCCAUUAUGAGAAAAGUCCAGCUUCACCCCUGUAGCCCUGGGCCAGAAGAAGCAUGUUCUGCGCUGUGACAGGGUGGAGUAUGCUCAGCUGCUCUGUGAAGAUGGCAUAGUAGCUGUAAGGGGAUGGAGCAUGCUCAGGUGCUCUGUAGGGAUGGUGCAUGCACAGUCUAAAAAGGCUAUGUGUACACGACAGACCAUACAGCUGUGCCACUGUAAGGUUACCCGUGUAGCCGCUCUUUGCCAACAGAAGAGAGAUCUCCUACCUGCAUAAUUUUACCAUCCCCAAUGAGUGGCAUUAGCUAUGUCAGCUGGUGAGCCUCUCCUGCCAACAUAGCACUGUCCACACCAGCACUUUUGUUGGUGAAACUUAUGGUGGCCAGGGGUGUGGUUUUUUUUCACACCUCUGACCAACCAAAGUUUUACCAACAAAAGUGGUAGUGUAGACAAAGCCUAAGUAAUAGUUGCUGUGAGAAGCUCAAGCAUGGUCAGUGAGGAUGAAAUCUUUGGACAUUUUAGCUGCUAAAGUAAAAACAGUCUCUACUGAGAAUGUUCAAACUGUGAUUUUUAAAGGCUUAUAAUUUGGCCAAAUGUGGGUGGGUUUUCAUGGGGAUGGCAAAAGGCCAAUCCCUGACACAAUAUGUCCUGCUUGCUAACUUUCAAGUCCCUGCUUCACAGCAUGGAGGCUCUAGAGCUGCUCAAAGAAAAGGUUGCCAGAAUUUUUAAUAUGGGCCAAACAAUAUAUUUCUCCUUUGCCUCCUUCUCACGAAUGGCUAAACUAUUUUGGCUAACAUUUUUCCAAAAGAAAGGUUCAGCCUGAGGAAGCCACUUGGCAUGUAAAAGUUCAGCCUAAACAAUUAAAGUUUGGCAAAGUUAUAAGCAACUGAAAAAAGUGUUUUAUAAUGCAAAGUGUCAGGCAACCUUAAUAUUAGCCCCUCCUAUAAUAUAAUAUGUGAAUUAUACUUGGUGGAUUUUCACUUAACGGCCAUAGGGAAGAAGCAUAUUUUCAAGUACAGUUAUGGGAGGAAAAGUGAGCAUAUUAAAAUGGCUCCUUCCCACUCCAUAGAUCACUGUGUGUAUAUAUAGAGAGCCAAAUAUGCUGACUUUAGAGACAAACACAUUUACUACAUUUGAAUUCUGCAGGGAUUAUUUUCUGGUUCGUGUAUCACCAACAAAAUUGUUGGUAAAGUUCCAUUGACUGUAUCUGUAUUGGGGGGGGGUGAGGCAUGGGCUGGAAGGAGGACAGUUUGACUCGCAGAUUCCAGGUUGAGUUUAUAGUUCUUUCAUUGUAAACUAAGCAAAUUUGCUAUGAACUCAUCAACAGGCAUGAUAGGCAUGUUAAUUUUACAGUCACUUUUCAGGGUAGAAAUGCACUUUGAAGGUGAUUGUGAUCAUCGGGCAGCUGCUAUGUAAUAAUCUCAGAAUUCUGAGUUGUAAUGAAGUGAUGAAUACUGUGUCUAACCUAGCUAUCAAGACAGCCUGUAUGCUUACGUUGGAGUAAUAUCCACUCUUCCUAUAUUGCUUUAAUUCAAUGGGGGCUGAGGGAAGAACAAAUGGGAAGGUAACUCAAUGAUUCUCAAGAUCAGAACUUCCCAGCACACUCUUGAAAGACUUAAGCUAUUAGCCUUGAGCAUCCUAUAUCCUGUCUGCAACCCAAAGUGACACAACUGUUUUGGCAAUGCUGGGAACUAUCAGACCAAAGGGUUAUAAACAUUUUAAAAAUGACUUAGUCUCUGGGAAGGAGGGUGAUCAAAAAGACUAAACAGCUUUUACAGUAGACUCUCCUUGCAGCUGGGGGGAGGAGUAGGAUGGGGAGGGAGAAAUGGUUUGGGAAUGAAGGGAACAGACUAUGCCAAUCAGACCCUAGAGGUCUCAAGGGAGUGAAGCUAUAGGAAUCUUAGGCCUACCAGGCACCCCAUGUGGAAGAUGGAUAGGUAUCCGGUAAACCAGACAUGUAUAGGACUGCUGUAUUAUUUUAAUACAGGUUUUCUCUGAAAUGUGUUGGUGCAAAAUCAUUAAUACUCUGCUUUAAGAAGGCUGUUUCAUUAUUGGAUACACUGCCAUAGCUCCCAGACAUAGAUGAACUGCAGAUAGUGAACCAAAGUCAGGCCUGCUGAGGUCAUCACAGCUGAUCAAAGGGGACUUCAGCCCAGAGCCCGGUCUGAAAGCGGAAGAGUUGCCUGAUUCCACUCCAAGACAGGUGAUGGCUAGAAGCCUGAUACCUGAGAAGAGGCAUGCUCCAAAAGACCAGGUGGGGUCAGAGUUGCAGUUAGCCCAGUAACUGUGACAAUGGGGAGAGAGGGAACAUGGCAAACAAGAAAGGAGAGUGUUUCCAACACGUGAGGGUAAUGGAGGGCAGCACAGAGGGAGAUGAUUCUGUGAAGAAGGUUUAGGAGGAGUGUAUGUAGCAAGGGUAGGAGAAGAAUUGUGCGGUACUUUGAAGUCUUCAAUCUGAGGGUCUCAAAUGGAUUUAGCAGAUGGGAUUUUCAAAAGUACUUAGCAUUGACCUAACUUUAUUUCCAUUGAAGUCAGUGAUAAAGUGCCAUUAACCUCAAUGGGAACAGAGUUAGGCCACUGCUGAGUGCUUUUAAAAAUCCACUCUAUUAAUAUUAAUAAAUUAAGCCUUCAAAGACCUAUGUUACUGGAGGUGAAACUGAGGCACAGACAGAUUAUACCUGACUUGACCGAGAUCACACAGGAAGUCUAUUGCAGAGCUAAGACUAGAAUCCAAAACACCUGAAUUCCAGUCCUGUGCUUUUAGCCAUAAGAGCAUCUUUCCCCUCUAUGCAACCUCAAAAUAGCAAUUACACACCAUUACUCUGUACUUUGUGCAUAAACCCCAUUAAGUCAUUAACACAAGGCUCUCCAACCUAUAGUAAUAAAGCCAUAUUUAAAGUUUUCCAGCACUGAUGUAUGAAUAUGUGGUUCCCCUCCGCAAAUGGCUGUCUUAUUAAGCUAAUAAAACCGUAUAGGCAAGUAACCCUGUUGCAGAGAGAUAUUGCUUUUCUACCCUGCUUCUGAAUAGGUUAAUCCCCCACAGAAUGAUAUUAACAAACACAUACCGGCUACCCCAAGCCACUCAGUUCUCCACCCUGUCCCAUGAAGAAAUUUAUGAUGAGUCAGCAUGAAUGGUGCAUUGUGCAACACAAAGCAGUGCCAAGAAGUAAAUCUGCACAGGAUUAGUCAUCAUCAGCUACUUGGGAACGCUCUGAUGCUGAAUGCUGAACUGAACUUCCUUUCCAAGGCAAGUCAAAAACAGAGAACUGGUUUUAAUUUUGAUGUCUACUUUAAGCAGGAGUUACUGAUUGCUGUCACCUGUUAGAUCUCACAUCUUUAUCAAAUGCUAAAGCUAAGCAUCAAAGUCCAUUUGGUCCAUAUAUACUACUAAUUCUAAAACACUUGCUCCUUUGUGGAUAUUGGUGGUGGGGUGACCCAGUGCAUCAGCCUUUUGACUCUAGACACUUGAGCUCUAGAGUGUAAAGAUAGGCUUCCUAGGGGAUGUGGUGAAUCAGUGUAAUUUCUGGGUGUCCUGGUCAUGACCCCACCCUGGCUAACACUGCCUGCUAUUGGCCAGCUACAGAAGUCCAGGUAGUCACCAAGUAUUGCUGAGCUGCCUCUAGUUGGGCUAACAGCAAUUUCACUUUGAAGUGCAACUGGAGAGUAAGAAGAAAAAUGAGUGGGAAGAGGCCAGAGGCAACAGAGGGAGGAAAACCAGACAGUUAGCAGAAGAGUUACUCCACCCCUGCAAUGACUUCUCUCAUCAGUAUUACCCACUCUGCGUGACACACUAGCCCCAGUCAUUGCAGGGGAUUUUUUAAAAAAACAUCUCCGCUUGGCUCCCACACUCUGACCAUGUGUGCCAGGCAAAUCAUGGAGGGUGGCUAGUAAUGCGGGGGGAAAGAAUGGACCAAUGGUAAGGAGUACUGCCCUAAUACUGGUGAAGAAGGAGAGAAUGGAGCAGAAGGGCAAAAGUAUAGGAGGAAAACUCCAGAUUUCCCUCCAGUCCUGUAGCCUUUGGGGGUGUCCAUCCUACGCUCCAUGUAUGAAUGCCACAAAGCCAGCGGGCUACUCUGGCAUCAUUGAUAGUCUUGGCUAAAAUAGCAUAAAAAGGGGUGUGGAGGGGUCACAUUCCUCUGCCCUAGUUAUUAUAUGGAAAGUGAUAGGGGAUGGCAAAAAGGCAUUAAUUCUCGGGAAAAAUUGAUCAGCAAGUUGACCGAGUACUGACAAACUCAUUGCUGGUGUGAUUCUUUGUGAUCCCUGAAAGAAGAGCUUUUAGAGCAGAUGGCUGGGGACAGGGGCUCCCUCGUCUUCCUUGUAUUUCCUUCCAUGGUGCUGAUUAGGAUACUAAAGAGAAGCAGCUAUUUUUUGGCAGACAUACUAGUGUGGAUGUGAAGGAUUGUGGCAUACUUGGUAGCAGGAAUACAAAACUACUUACCUUGUAUGACUAGUGUGUGCAUGUGUCUCUCUCUGUGUUUUGUGCAUGGCUGUUUACCUGGCUCUUCUUUCUUGUAUUUCUUUCUUCUCUGUAAGAUGGCUAGGAAAGCUUCAUGGUGCAAUGGUAAAGUUGUCCUACAACAGCCGGAAGGGGAUUAUACUUGGGCUAGAUGCCUACAAUGAGGGGUGUGGGGAUUUUAAGAUUAGGAGUUUACUACUAGAUUUAUACUGCAUUCAUGUUAGUGUUCCUUUAAUGAAACUAGGCCUGUUGGGAUAGCUGGUUGAGAAAUAACAGCUUGUUGGUCCUCACUAGCUCAGCUGGGCUAGAAAUGUUUACAAAGUGUAGCAUCAGCUGGAAAUGCUGCUGCUGCUAGUUGGAAGUGCUUUUCAUUGGUUAUUUGCUGUUUGGUUGGCCAAUUAUAAUUUACUUAGCCUGACAAUAUGGUUGGUGUUUUACAAGAGAGAAGGUAAAGACAAAUCUCUGCCCUGAACAGCUAAGAAUAAAAUUGCAAUAACUAUUCAGAUGAGUUAUAGACUCACUUUUAUCCAGCUGCAUGACCCCUCUCACAAAGAGGUUUCCAUAAAUGUAAAUGGCUAGAAAUGUACUACCAAAGGUUAGGUUAGUCUGUGAAUUUAAUGUGCAAACUCCAGGGUGCUUUCUCCUAAACUCUAUCGUUGUUACACCCAGUUCUUGGAGGAAUAUUUUAAUUAACUGACAUGUCACUUGCUCAUCUGCCCUCUUGCCUACCACAAACCACUGGUGAGGAAUGAACGAGUAGCCGCUAAAGGAUGAUGAGGAACGCUAUGCUGCUCUUCUGGGGCAAUGCCAGACUCACAGCUGUCUUCCACAUUCGGUUUCUGGGGAGCAGUCUGCCUGGUUACCAACAUUUAAAGAAAAACAAUUUCUAGGGAACAUUCUAACAAAAGCUUGGCUAUCCCAGGGGGAAAGGGAGAAUUCUAUGCUUCCUGAUGACUUCUGUGUUCUAAAUAUAACGAUCUUCAGGGCCUCAGAGAGACUGGGGCUCAGACCAGCACUAAGAGCUUUGGAUACAGAACUGAACCUAUGGAGACUCCUUGAUCCUCUGUUCCUUAACUACUAGGGUGGCCAGAUGUCCCGAUUUUGGGGUCUUUUUCUCAUAUAGGCUCCUAUUACCCUCCACCUCCUGUCCUGAUUUUUCACAUUUGCUAUCUGGUCACCCUACUUACCUACCCCCUUUAUCUCAGUUGCCUUCUGGGGUGGGGGAAGCCCAGUGGCCUGAAACCCUUCCUCUAGAACCUUCAGAGAGGAAAGACAGGUCUCUCUCCCCUCUGGAGUCUUCAGGGGACAGGUGGGUCUCUGGGCUUCCUGGUCUUUCUCCUGUUUGUCUCUGUCCUGUGAGUAGGGGAGGUUUGCAGUUUUCUUAAUCUUCCAGUGUCCCCUCGGUGUGUUGUCUGCAUAUCCCCCUUCAGUGUUCCUCAUCCCCUGGUGUGUAUGUCCAAGUGUGUUUUCUGCCAGUGAUCCUCUUAUGUUCUCUUGUGAGUUUCCUGCAAAACAUUCUGUUCCUCUCCCAUGUGCUCCAUAUCCUCCAAUGGGUCUUCCUUUCUCUAUCUCCAUGAACUGGGAAGGGGUGGGAAAAUUGAACUACCAUCUCCUUCAUCACUCACAACAGGACCCAGGAAACUGUUGUAUCUAUUCCCAGCUCCCCACUGUGGCCCCUAGUCACUGGAAGUCCACUUUGUUAUCUAAUGAGCUAAACCAGCUGCCCUGGACUUCACCUGGGAUUGAGACCACCCAAGUUAGUCCUAGGAAAACCAGGAGAGUUGGCAGGUGUGGGCCUGCCUCUUCUGUACAUUAACAGUGGUAUCAUUCUGUGAUGAAUGUUCCCAUAUGGGUUUUCUGUGGGGAAUUUUCUUUUUUUUUUUUAAUGGAGUUAGUUUGUUUUGCAAGAGGCUGUACAAAUCAGCUAGUGGAGAUAUUGAGGACUCAUCAAAAAGGAAUCAGUUGCAAUGCAUGGCAAUUACACACUCGGUAACCCAGAAGAAAGGCUGACAUGAAGAGUGAAGGUUGGCCACCCCUGCUCUACUGGAUAUGUAAUAUCAGAACUGCCCUCCCGUGGCCCAGAAAAGAUAUACACCAUAAUACUACGAUUGUCAGUGGAGAUUCUUCUUUAGUUCAAGUCACAGCGGGUAUCUACUUUAGGAGCAGGAGGCCUGGAAUUAUCUCACUGCUGAUGCCUAUGAAAUCUAUGCAUGUGGAGUAGAGCUUGGUGAAAGUUUUCAUCCAAAGCUUUUUCUUCAUCCAAAAAAUAAAUAAAUAAAUAAAAAGUGCAGAUUUCCAUUGACUGGCAUUUUGCAGAUUCAUGUAGAAUUUACCAAAUUGUUUAAAUUAAAAAAAAUUCUGAAAA